rnacentral:rRNA from 1 species
GACGAACGCUGGCGGCGUGGAUUAGGCAUGCAAGUCGGACGGUAGAGCUUUAUCGUAAGAUAGAGUUUGAGAGUGGCGAACGGGUGAGUAACACGUAGGAAUCUACCCUUCAGAGGAGGACAACCUCAGGAAACUGAGGCUAAACCUUCAUACGUUCACUGGUAGGGAUACUGGUGAAGAAAGAGUUACCGUUGAGGUGGCUGCUGAAGGAUGAGCCUGCGGCCCAUCAGGUAGUUGGUGAGGUAACGGCUCACCAAGCCGAAGACGGGUAACCGGUCUGAGAGGAUGUCCGGUCACACUGGGACUGAGACACGGCCCAGACUCCUACGGGAGGCAGCAGCAGGGAAUCUUGGGCAAUGGGCGAAAGCCUGACCCAGCGACGCCGCGUGGAGGAAGAAGUCCUUCGGGGCGUAAACUACCUGGACUGGGGACGAGGAAGGACGGUACCCACGUAGAAAGGGACGGCUAACUACGUAG